UACGUAGGGUGCGAGCGUUAAUCGGAAUUACUGGGCGUAAAGCGUGCGCAGGCGGUGAUGUAAGACAGGUGUGAAAUCCCCGGGCUUAACCUGGGAACUGCAUUUGUGACUGCAUCGCUGGAGUGCGGCAGAGGGGGAUGGAAUUCCGCGUGUAGCAGUGAAAUGCGUAGAGAUGUGGAGGAAUACCGAUGGCGAAGGCAGCCCCCUGGGAUAACACUGACGCUCAUGCACGAAAGCGUGGGGAGCAAACAGG
rnacentral:rRNA from 1 species